CAAUCUUAACUUAUAGACUCACAAGAAUUAAAGAGUUUAAUUCAUCAGUUUAUUGGAAAGAGUUCUAGUUAAUUGAUGUAUUUGGACUAACUUAUUUGAAUUGAGUUAGCUUGGCUAUGAGCUUGAGUCUAUUGCUGACUAGAUGUGGAUGUUAGAAAGUGGAUAGGUUGCAUGCUUGAAUUUCAAAAUGAUUUUGAAACAAUAGUAGAAAUGAUCUAGGUUAAACCCCUUAAUCCCACAUGCAAUAGAUGAUAUCUAUUAACUAGCCG
rnacentral:lncRNA from 1 species